GACAGAGCUUCACUCUGUUGUCCAGGCUGGAGUGCAGUGGUGCAAUUAUACCUUCCUGCAGCGUUGAAUUCCUGGGCUCAAGCUAUUCUCCCAGCUCAGCUUUUGUUAUUCCUGAUUUUGGUCUUGGUCAAGAAAUCCUGUCUGACUUCAGUGCCAUAAAGAUAACUUCUUCACGUCUCUCAUAAGACAGAGAGAGCCUAAGAAGUAGUGCAGCAGAGACUGAAUCCCAGACACUGACUGCACAUGAAGCAUUGAUGGUUAGUGAUGAUGGUGGUGAUGAAGUUUAUAAGGGAAAUGGUGGCCAAUUCUGAGAGGUGUAACCACCAGAGAAACACCACUGGCUGUACAGAGAACAGAAAAUAAAACUGAUGAAAAUCUGCCUACAGGGUUAUUGUUUUUCAUGUUAUACAUUAUUUAGAACACAGAUAAUCAGGCAGGUAGCAUGUUUCACAAAAGCCUCCCUAAAACUGGAAAAUGAACUGGCUGUUGCUGAUAUGAACAUGUCAGAGAUUUGAAAAACAUUUGGGAGAAACCAAGGAAAUCAAUUCACCCCCAUAUUGAUGUGUCUAAUCCGUUCGAGGAUAAAAAGAAUACUAAUGUGGGCUUUUCAGAAAAUACUGAAGGAAAAGGAAAUGGAAUUGCAUCUAGAAGAUUCAAGGGAAGAGCACCCCUCUGAAAAUGAUCUGUUAUAGGACCCAGAGGGGAAAAAAAACCUGAGAAAUUAGUUAGCAUUUGUUGUCAAUGGUGGAGUCAGGUGAGAGGUGACUGGAUCAUGGAGGCAGAUCCCUCAUGAAUGCUCUAGCAGCAUCCCCUUCAUGAGAAGUGUGUUCUUGCUCCGUUAGUUCAUGUGAGAUCUGCUUAUUUAAAAGAGUCUGGGACCUCCUCCUUUUCUCUUUUGAUCUGGCCUCUCUGUGUGACAUGCCUGCUCCCAUGUCACCUUCCACCAUGAUUGUAAGCUUCCUGACACUCUUACCAGAGGCCAAGCAAAUAUUGGUGCCAUGCUUUUACAGCCGAUUAAACCUCUUCUCCUUAUAAAUUACUCAGCCUCAGGUAUUUCUUUAUAGCAAUGUAAGAAUGGACUAACACAGAGUCUCCAGGAAUCAAUAGUAUAAAGUCAUAGAGAGCAGGCUAACGUGAUAAGGCACCAAAAAGAGAAGAAAAGAAAGUAAAAUGAAAGAAACGAAUGAGAAGGAAGUAUUGCACAGAAACUAAAAUCUCAGCAACAAAACCAACAUCUCCACUGAAAUAGAAAGUUAUGUUAUAUAUUGUUUUGUAUUGUUAUAUACUUCUUUAUAUUGUUGGUAUAGAGAAGUUAUAUCAAGGGAAAUAUAAACAGUAACAUAGAAGUUAAAGAUACUCUCCCAGAAUAUAAAGAAAUGUACUAAAAAAUGACACUGAAAGAAAAAAGAUUCAUAUAGAAUAAUGAAUACAAAGAAAAUUGGUUUUCUUGAAGAAGACAUAAGAAAUAAUGAAACAAAACAAUAUUAGUUUACCCAUUUAUUCAACGUGUAUUUAUCGAGCGAUCUACCAUGUGCGUGCACUGUGCUAGGUGAUGCAUAGGCUGCAAUGUGUAUUAAAUGAGCUCACCUCCUUCAAUUACAGAAGCAAACACACACAUAAAUAUGUACUUGUGGAUUUUGGAAAGCAUUAUGUAAGAAAACAGAACAAUAAUUAACAAUAUAACAGAAUAGAACUUUAAUGAGUUGAAGAAAGAUCUCUGCAUGGAACUUGAAAGUAUGCUUUCCCAGUCAGGCAAAGCCAAUAAAACCAGAACGAUACCAGCUAGAUAAAGACAGCAUCUAAAUUGCCAUUUUUAAAUUAUAAGAUAAAAAAUAUUUAAAAGCGGUCAUGCAGAACAAUAACAACAAAAAUACCCUAACGGGACUCAUCUCUUCAAUGCUAAAUGUCAGAAACUUCUGGAUCAUCUUAUCUAAAGACUUUGGAAAAAAGUGAUCAUGAACUUUGUACCCAAUAAAGUGUCUUCCAUGUGCAAAGGCACAUGAGUUUAUCAGAUAAACUCUUCAGAAUAUCUCUAACCCAUGAAUUCUUCUUUAGAAACCAUUAGUUCAACCAAACAAGAGGAGAUGACAAAGUAAGAGCUCAAGUAUGAAACUAGUUUGAAAUGAGAUAAAACUAAAUUAUUGAUGCACACAAAUGAGAAAACUGAGCCUUUGAGGAACUAAAAGGCCAU